rnacentral:rRNA from 1 species
CGCGUAGGCGGUUUGCUUAGUUAGGCGUGAAAUUCCUGGGCUCAACCUGGGGGCUGCGCUUAAUACAGGCAGACUAGAGUGUGAAAGAGGGUCGUGGAAUUUCCAGUGUAGAGGUGAAAUUCGUAGAUAUUGGAAAGAACACCGGUGGCGAAGGCGGCGACCUGGUUCAUUACUGACGCUGAGGCGCGAAAGCGUGGGGAAGCAAACAG